AGGGGGGGGGUGCUUACCAUGCAAGUCGAACGGAAAGGCCCUUCGGGGUACUCGAGUGGCGAACGGGUGAGUAACACGUGGGUGAUCUGCCCUGCACUCUGGGAUAAGCCUGGGAAACUGGGUCUAAUACCGGAUAGGACCACACACUUCAUGGUGAGUGGUGCAAAGCUUUUGCGGUGUGGGAUGAGCCCGCGGCCUAUCAGCUUGUUGGUGGGGUAAUGGCCUACCAAGGCGACGACGGGUAGCCGGCCUGAGAGGGUGACCGGCCACACUGGGACUGAGAUACGGCCCAGACUCCUACGGGAGGCAGCAGUGGGGAAUAUUGCACAAUGGGCGCAAGCCUGAUGCAGCGACGCCGCGUGAGGGAUGACGGCCUUCGGGUUGUAAACCUCUUUCAGUAGGGACGAAGCGAAAGUGACGGUACCUACAGAAGAAGGACCGGCCAACUACGUGCCAGCAGCCGCGGUAAUACGUAGGGUCCGAGCGUUGUCCGGAAUUACUGGGCGUAAAGAGCUCGUAGGUGGUUUGUCGCGUUGUUCGUGAAAACUCACAGCUUAACUGUGGGCGUGCGGGCGAUACGGGCAGACUAGAGUACUGCAGGGGAGACUGGAAUUCCUGGUGUAGCGGUGGAAUGCGCAGAUAUCAGGAGGAACACCGGUGGCGAAGGCGGGUCUCUGGGCAGUAACUGACGCUGAGGAGCGAAAGCGUGGGUAGCGAACAGGAUUAGAUACCCUGGUAGUCCACGCCGUAAACGGUGGGUACUAGGUGUGGGUUUCCUUCCUUGGGAUCCGUGCCGUAGCUAACGCAUUAAGUACCCCGCCUGGGGAGUACGGUCGCAAGACUAAAACUCAAAGGAAUUGACGGGGGCCCGCACAAGCGGCGGAGCAUGUGGAUUAAUUCGAUGCAACGCGAAGAACCUUACCUGGGUUUGACAUGCACAGGACGUACCUAGAGAUAGGUAUUCCCUUGUGGCCUGUGUGCAGGUGGUGCAUGGCUGUCGUCAGCUCGUGUCGUGAGAUGUUGGGUUAAGUCCCGCAACGAGCGCAACCCUUGUCCUAUGUUGCCAGCGGGUAAUGCCGGGGACUCGUAGGAGACUGCCGGGGUCAACUCGGAGGAAGGUGGGGAUGACGUCAAGUCAUCAUGCCCCUUAUGUCCAGGGCUUCACACAUGCUACAAUGGCCAGUACAGAGGGCUGCGAAGCCGUAAGGUGGAGCGAAUCCCUUAAAGCUGGUCUCAGUUCGGAUUGGGGUCUGCAACUCGACCCCAUGAAGUCGGAGUCGCUAGUAAUCGCAGAUCAGCAAUCGCUGCGAAUCGUUUC
rnacentral:rRNA from 1 species